AUACUUACCUAGCAGGGGAGAUACCACGAUCAUGAAGGUGCUUUUCCUAGGGAGAGGCUUAUCCAUUUCACUCCGGAUGUGCUGACCCCUGCGAUUUCUCCAAAUGCAAGAAACUCAAAGACUGCAUAAUUUGUGGUAGUGGGGACCAGGUUUUCGUUCUCCCCU